UUGCAGGCUGCUCUCAGUGCUUUUUUCCAAGAAACAAAUAUCCCCUACAGCCACCACCAUCAGAUGCCCGUAAUCUGCCUGGGCAGAUGUGUCUUAGGGAUUUGCUGGCUGCCACGGCCUCAUUUGACUCUCCGGGACAACUGGGGAUUUGGAGCAUGCAAUGUGCACUCCUGCCAACACGCCGGCCCCGCC